rnacentral:tRNA from 1 species
GGUUAUGGCUCAGAGGUAGGGUGCUUGCCUAGCAUGCAUGAGGCACUGGGUUUGAUCCUCAGCACCA